AACAAAGAAUCCGCUUUCCUUUUGUGUUGUUUACUGAGUGAGUUCUCCCAACUUUCCGCUGCUGACAAUGGUAACACUGGGCUUGGCUGGAGGGUGGGUGGACAGUAGAUGGCUACUUAACAGAGAGAUGCACAACUGGUCAACAUAUAGAAAAAUAAAGGACUAUGGGAAGCUCAGCCCUAAAUGGAACAUCGGUGUCACGCCCUGUGCACCCAAGACUCAUGACUCAUCGCGGAAGAAGGGGAAGAACGAUGGAGAGCCAGAGGUAGUGGACAUCUGGCAAAACCUUGUUCUCCAGGCAUGACCAAGCUGUUACACACACAGGUUUAGGCAGCUGUCAAAUGCUGAUCCUGUGGCCCACGGUGAGAAAACCUCCUGGUAUAACUAGUGGGAACUGCUCGGCUACCUUCCCUUCCCUUCCCCCCAGCUGUGUGAUGCAAGGGUGCAAUUCCGUCUCCUCAGAACCAGACAUCCUCUCUCACUGGAGGAUUCCAGGCAUUGCCAACCCUGGGUAGCUUAUCACUGCAGAGCACCCUGCAGCCGUUCUGCAGAUGGUCACCAUGUGCCAGGCUCAGCACAUUACUAAAGCAACAAGCAUCCCACCAGGACACCCACUUUGCAACGAAGACACUGCUAUGCCAGGGAAGAAUCCAGAAAGAAUUAUAACGCUGGGGCUUCUGAGAAAGCUGAUUAAGGGGCCUGGCUGGAAAGUGACCUGCAUCCUCGAGGCAGAGAACCUCCAAUGAGCUCAGAGGUGAGAGCUGUCUGGAUGACUCAGGCAGGAAUCUGGAGAGAGCGGGGUGGGGCACGUAAUUCACUGCCUAAAACCCAAAGCCAGUUCCCCACCUUUCAGUGGUACAAUCGCUCCCUGAAGAAGAUACUUCAAGUUGAGAACGAAGCAGGAAAGGAGGAAGCCCAGGAAGGAAUGACUUUGCAUUUAGCGUUGAUUCGAAAAGGCACAACCCUUUACCUCUUCACAUGCCUGAUCUAAAAUUAGAAUCCACCCUCCAAUCUCAAGCAUUUUACAGUUUCUGUCCACCACGCCCGCACCCCUCGUCCCCCCAUCCACCCUCCCGGCAUGCACAUGAUCCUAAGGCACGCGCGUGGCUCGCUUGUCAAUGCCGGCAUGCGCAAACUUGUCCACAGCUACAGUCUUUGUCAUUUCUUCCUCAGGAUUUUGUGUUUUGUUUCUACCCUACGUGUUGGGUUUAAUGGCCAUGUAAAAUGUCUUCAGCAAGAUCAUCCUGGAGGGUUCCCCCUAACAGGAAAACUUACAGUGUGUUCAGGUAGGCGAGGGACCAGAGCGGUACCAUCCUGAUUGUUAUGUGUGGAAUGAAUAGCCAUUCUGAGAAAAAGGUUUACUAUUAAAUAGCGGCCUUGCAAAAACAAAUCAAGUAUUUUACAGCUUUAUUAGUCCAGGCAAGGGUACAAUAGCAAUGCCCGGGCCAUUUGUUAGAAUGACAGACCCUCGGGUUGUGUGGAUACCUACUGAUUCUGGUUGUACUGUGGCGACUGCUCCAUCCAAAGGUCAAAACCACCACCUCCACCUCGGUCUUAUUACGGCACUUUCUUCUCUUUAUUGUCCGUGAACUAAUGAUGGAACUUAAAUACAAAGGGCAUGUGGGACUCAAUUAGGCAUGGCCGGUGACAUCUCUGCAGGCGCGAUGUAAAAUAAAACCAUCUUCUUCAGUGGGGGGAGGGGGGCAGGGAGGGCUGGCAGCCAGCAGGAUGGGUAGUCUCCUAGGAGAACCAGGAACACUAAUAAAGCCAUGAAUUAUCUGAGACCUUGCAGGGUCCUCAGGGUGCUGUGACACAGCUGGCUGAGAGGAGCCCCACCUGCGGAACUGUCUGUCAUAAUGAGGAUUUGGGAGUUCGUUAUAUGCUUUCUCUACUAACAAUGACACUCAACUUAGUCCCUCUUGUGGAGGGACUGGGCACGCAACCCACAGCUUUGCGUAGUAUGCUGGCUUGGCACUGUGUCACUGAGCUACAGCCUCAGCCUUCAAUAAAUUCUGUAGUCAACAUUUUAUAUUUGUUUUCCUUACCUACUCAUUCUGAUCCCUUACUACUGAGAAGUAUGACAAACCCUGUAGGGAAACAGUGUGAACUGACACCCGGAGUUUAGGUGGCAAUGGCCUUUUACCUAUAGAGAUGACAUUACCAGACUACCUGGUUGGCAAGUUGGGGACUGGACUCUCCAGAUUCUGGCUUUGCUUUGGCAAUUCUGAGAGGGAAGAUAGUAUUGGUGACAUUUUAUGGGAGAGAACUGGGGGUCCAGUAUGCUCAAGAGACUCAGAUUCUGAGCUGUCCUGGGAGCCAAUUAAUUGCUUCUUCAUCUAAGUCAGUGGUUCUCAACUGCUGCCGCCCAUGAAUACAGUUCCUCGGGUUAUGGUAAACCCCCAACCAUAAAAUUAUUUUCAUGGAUACGUUAUAACUUUAAUUUUGCUUCUGUAUGAAUCGUAAUGUAAAUAUUUUUUGGAGACAGACGUCUGCCAAAGGAGUCUCAACCCACAGGUUGAAAAACCACUGAUCUAAUUCAUCUCUUGUCCUUCCGCCCACAGCUUCUCAGUAAAAGUUGACAUGCUCAUUUAUGAUUUU